CCACCAUGUUCUGAACAGACACCCUUAGAAAUGCUAACAGAAAAUGAUAACAGGAAUCUCAAUCAAAUGAAAAAUGUAUUCCUGAUAAAGCAGGAAAAAUCUCAUCCCUGAUAUUGUUAUUCACACCUUUACUAGCUUCUAUUACUCCAACUACAGUAGAACCAGGGUAUGAAACCUGAACCUGAAGUCUCUUGUAUUUAUUGCAUGUUUGUCUCCAAAGGCCAACUAGGCACAUGGAUAGCUAUGAAAGUGAGGAGGACGCCUACGUCCCAAAAAAGAGAAAUGGAUACAUGAUACCCCCAUCCAAUGGUACAAUGGAGUGCAUUGCACUCACUCAGGGCUCAUCAGAUGGACGAUCUACCACGAUUUCACAAUAUCAGGUAGAAGUGUAAAUCUCGCAAUUUCAUUCAAUUUCAGUUCUUGGUGUUACAGUUAUUUUUCAGAUGUGAAAUGAGAAGUCAUAGUCAUAUUUAAGUAUUUUAAUCAUGACUGAAUAUCUUUUAUACCCCAUGCCAAGAAUAACACCCCCUCAAGACCACUUCGCCAAGCCAUUGAGGUGGCAAAUUAUAUGUAGCCUCGGUCAGCAAACACCCCAGGUCAUCAAGGCCAGGCUGUGAGGGUGUGCCCUGAAACCCAGGCGGCUCCAAUCUGGGAGCAGCAAGACCUCUCAUCGAGGCAACGCCUCAAAAAUUCAGCUGUCUGCAGUCAGAUGUGUGGAUGGAAGAAUUACCAUUUUUUCAGACUCCACGUGUUACUUAAAGACAUAUGUUUGAUCCUACAACUAACUUAUCUCUUGCUUGUUUCUCUCAUAUUCAGCUUUGCUUCAUGACUUGCUGGUGAAGCAAGAAAUCAUAAUUGAGCAGCAGCAGAACAUAAUAAGAAUGGUGCAAGACCUUCAUGCAGCCAUGCACUGCAUGACAAAUGGGUCAGCUAACAUGGAAAGGCACCAUUCUUAUUUCCCCCUCCGCAAUAUCGAGCAGCUGAUGGACCUGGAAGGAGACCAGCAGUCUCUUCCUGGACUGAAAAAGGAAUUGGUAAACUGCCUUUGAUUCGUGUAAGGCACAUAAAUCCGGCCAAAAUCCAAAUCCAGAGGAACAGCAGAGGCUCCUCUGACAUGGUGAUAUGAUGGUGUCAGGGCUUUCACACACACUUUCAUUGAUACGAAUACUUGGUUUUGAGGAAUGACCUCUAUUUUGAGCAUGUGACAUACUUUUGCUUUUGUUGAUUGCUGUAGCUGUCAAUUUUAGUCCUUGAGUUCAUAGCUACAUGCUUUAUUUGUUAACUACUAUCAAGGAAUAUGACUCUCCUUUGUAGAAUGUGUGAGAGAAGACGCCGCGAGAUUUGUGGACUUUUACGUGGUGUCCACUGAUAACGUAGUGGGCUGGUCUGGACAGAAAAUGCCAGGGCUGAAUUUUUGUCCCAGUCCACCCCUGGGCAGAGCCGAGGGAUCCCAUUCCUCAUGAGUGACAGACAUUUAAAUGCAGUUCAUGGGACUGAGGAUCUGAUGAGCUUCUCAGCAGAACGAGACUGGUAUAAAAGAAUGGAUUCAGCCCCCGGUGGGGGACAGUACAAAAGCCUUGUGAGGUACAUGAAUGUACGAAAUACGAGCACAACAUGAUGACUUAAGACAACAUGCCAACACAGAUGAACAUAAAAAAACACAGCGCCAUUCUCAUCAAUGAGGCUCACUGACGUCGGGUUCAGAGUUUCCAAAUACAGCAACACAAGACGGACAAGUGAGCUUGAGGUGGCUACCUAUGUUGCCUGUCACACAUCAGUGAAAGCUGUAGAUCAUCUUGGGGAAUUAAUUUGCUCAACCUGCAACAAAGAUGUCAAAAUACACCAGACAAAGUACACCUUAUUAAUCAACAAUGUAGUAGCCCCAUGUAUGUUUAAAGAGUGCUGAUUACUCCCUCGUCAUUGAUGAAAGCACAGAUGUUGUAUCCGUGAAGAAGCUGUGUAUCGUCACCCGCUACUUCAGUAUAAAACUGAGCAAAGUUGUGUCCACUUUUUCAGGCUUGAUUCAUUUGGAGGGUGAGAUGGCAGAGGCUUUUGCCUCCACUCUGACCUCAUUUAUACAGAGUAUAGAUGGGUUUCUGUGCAGUGUCACCGUAGAAAUGCACGUGCAGCCAGGGGGCAGAAAGCAGGACAUUUGUCAUUGUUUACAAGCGGAGUCAAGCAGUAAAAAAUGACAAGGAGUUGUUGUGCUGUGAACUGCACAAACCGGCAAAAGGAUGGAUUGAAAUUUUUUAAUAUCCCGAUGGGAUCUCAUCCGUUUGCCAAAAAAACGAAGAGGAUUAUGGCUCCAGGCCAUUAAAAGGGCAGAUUGGGGUCCUAAAGGCAGCAAUAGUCUGUGCAGCACCCACUUUGUGACUGGAGCACCGUCCAUGGAUUGUGAUAGUCCAGAUUUUCUUCCAUCCAUUUUUUCUCACAGCAGCACCAGAGACACCUCAGGAAAGGUAGCAAGAUAUGAAAGAAAGAGAAAACGGGAUGAAGGUAAGGCCUCUGCUACCUGCCUCACAAGCGAGCCUGAGGCAGAUCCUCUAGACUCAUCUGAAGAUAUGCAAAAGUCACACAAUUUAGUGUGUGUUUGUGGUGGUCGGGUGAGUAGAGUGAUAGGGAAACAGACAGUCUGUGUGUUGCGUUCGUGUCUGUGUGUGUUUGAAAGCUGAUGUGUUGCACAUGAAGAGUUUAUUCAUCUCCUUUUUGUGUUGUAGAUGAAUGGCGACUAUAAAGCUCUGAAAAGUGAAGUGUAUGCCACACAGAUAAAAAAUAAACAUCUGAAGGAGCAACUUAAGCAGUCCAAGUUUGGGUUUUAUUCCAUAAAAGACACAAAUGUUAAAAUAUUUUUUUUUCAUUGGUUUACAGUCAUUACAUGUGUUUAUGUGGCUGCUGGACAUUGUAAAAAGAAGCACACUUGUGCUUAAGGGUGGGUUAAGUUGGGAGAACCACCUCCUUUUGGUUCUAAUGAAAGUAAGACUUGGACUCACCAACAGAGACCUUGCCUACAGCUUUGCGCUUCCAUUCUCAACUGUAUCAAAACUAUUAAGAGACUGGCUACCCAUGUUGUCCUCAAUAGUGAAACCUGAUAACGUGGCCUAGUAAGAAUGCAGUGCGGGCAAACAUGGCAAAGUGUUUUAAACCCAAAUUUAGGAAUUGCUGUUGUAUUAUAGACUGUGCUGAGACCUUUAUAGAAAGAACGUGAAACCUGGUCAAAUUAUAAGCACCAAAAUACAAUUAAAUGUCUAAAUGGAAUCACACCAGCAGGAGCUAUAUCUUUUUUGUCUAGUGGUUGGGGAGGUUGUGCCUCUGACAAGGUAAUAACUUUUGAUACUGGCUUUUUUGGAUAAACUUGAGCAUGGUGACAUCAGCAAAGUCACUAUGCUAGAUGACAUUUUGACCAUAUGUGCUGGUCUUACAAACCUCAUGGAGACUGUGGUGGCCCGGCGAUAACUGUGUUUAGAGUCAAAAAGAUGUACAUUACUUUCCAUGAUUGUGUCAGGCUUUUAGGGCUACUGAGGGCAAUGAUCACUCACUACCUACUCCCUCUGUCUCUCUCUCUCUUACUCAUCACUUUCUCUGUAUAGCCUGACUGUAAGAUUAACAACAGUUAUGAAUAACUAAAUUUGAUCAGACAUUGAGACAUCACUGAAAGUACAAAAAGGUGGAGAACCACCGCACAGAGCUAUUUUAUUUAUGAUAAUGGCCAUUUUAGGACCAAGGUUAUGGGAACAUUUAGGAAAAACUGCUUUUAAAGCUGACACGCUACAGUAAAUAUUAACAUGCACUGACAAUGUUUUAAAUGCAGUAUAUUGAAGGCAAAGUAAUGGAAUCAAAAUGAUAUGUAACCAAAAGUGUUUUCAACAAUGACAAGUGUAAAUAAUUAAUACUAUACAAACUCAUCUAACAUUUCCACCUGGAAAUGUUUUUUCUUUCUUGCUUGUAAUUUUUGAGUAUUAUCAUGUUAUAACAAUAUACAUAACUGUCUACUAUAACAAUAUAUAUCUGGCCACUGUAUAUUCGGCCAUUUGCUAACGUCAACCCACUUAUUAAUAGAACACAGAUCUGGAAGUCGGACACCAUUUGUCAACUUGUUAAGGUAACAUUCAUGAUCUUCAGUUGAUAAUCCAUUAGCACAGCUUGACAAGCUGUUUAUCUCCGCCAUA